rnacentral:rRNA from 1 species
CUGGAACCUUGCUGAGAGGCGAGGGUGCCUUCGGAGCCAGAACACAGGUGCUGCAUGGCUGUCGUCAGCUCGUGUCGUGAGAUGUUGGGUUAAGUCCCGCAACGAGCGCAACCCUUGUCAUUAGUUGCCAUCAUUUAGUUGGGCACUCUAAUGAGACUGCCGGUGACAAACCGGAGGAAGGUGGGGAUGACGUCAAGUCCUUAUGGCCCUUAUAGGUGGGGCUACACACGUCAUACAAUGGCCGGUACAAAGGGUCGCAAACCCGCGAGGGGGAGCCAAUCCAUCAAAGCCGGUCGUAGUCCGGAUCGCAGUCUGCAACUCGACUGCGUGAAGUCGGAAUCGCUAGUAAUCGUGGAUCAGCAUGUCACGGUGAAUACGUUCCCGGGUCUU